rnacentral:tRNA from 1 species
UCCCUGGUGGUCUAGUGGUUAGGACUCUGGACUUCCACUGCAGGGAACAUGGUUCAAUCCCUAGUCAGGGAA